ensembl:ncRNA F46G11.12 ncRNA
AGCCAUAUUUUUAGAUCGUUUGAGCCCCCCUCGAAAUAUUUGAAAAGUAUUCAAAAGGUCUUAUUACGUAAUUUGACACUUGGAUUCAUUUUCAGUCGAGUAUCUUCGAUAUGAACUUUAA